rnacentral:rRNA from 1 species
GACGAACGCUGGCGGCGUGCUUAACACAUGCAAGUCGAACGGUAAGGCCCUUCGGGGUACACGAGUGGCGAACGGGUGAGUAACACGUGGGUGAUCUGCCCUGCACUUCGGGAUAAGCCUGGGAAACUGGGUCUAAUACCGGAUAGGACUCCGGACUGCAUGGUCUGGGGUGGAAAGCUUUUGCGGUGUGGGGUGGUGCCCGCGGCCUAGCAGGUUGUUGGUGGGGUGAUGGCCUACCAAGGCGACGACGGGUAGCCGGCCUGAGAGGGUGACCGGCCACACUGGGACUCGGAUACGGCCCAGACGCCUACGGGAGGCAGCAGAGGGGAAUAUUGCACAAGGGGCGCAAGCCUGAUGCAACGACGCCGCGUGAGGGAUGACGGCCUUCGGGUUGUAAACCUCUUGCAGCAUCGACGGAGCGAAAGUGACGGUAGGUGCAGAAGAAGGACCGGCCAACUACGUGCCAGCAGCCGCAGUAA